UUUGUUUCCUAAUUAGAAACUAGAAUGAAAGGUUUAACAUUUUAAUUAUUUUAUUAAUUAUUUAUAUAAAUUUAUACUAAACAUAAAAAUAUGUUUAUGCUUUAAAAAGACGAUAAGACCCUAUUAAAUUUUACUUAAUGUUUAACUGGGGCAGUUAUUUAAUUAAUACUUUAAACACAUAAAAUAAAUACCUAAUAUAAAUAUACUAUAAUCAAAUUACUAUAGGGAUAACAGCGUUAUAUUAUUUAAAAGUUCAUAUUUAUAAUAAUGAUUGCGACCUCGAUGUUGAAUUAUAUUUCUAUUAUUAACGCAACAGUUAAAUAAGUAGGUCUGUUCGACCUUUAAAAUAUUACAU
rnacentral:rRNA from 1 species